GACGUAGGGCGCGAGCGUUGUCCGGAAUUAUUGGGCGUAAAGGGCUCGUAGGCGGUCUGUCACGUCGGGAGUGAAAACUCAGGGCUUAACCCUGAGCCUGCUUCCGAUACGGGCAGACUAGAGGUAUGCAGGGGAGAAUGGAAUUCCUGGUGUAGCGGUGAAAUGCGCAGAUAUCAGGAGGAACACCAGUGGCGAAGGCGGUUCUCUGGGCAUUACCUGACGCUGAGGAGCGAAAGUGUGGGGGAGCGAACAGG
rnacentral:rRNA from 1 species